ACACUGACGUCGCGACGCAUAUCAAUAAGCGGAGGAAAAGAAACUAACUAGGAUUCCCUCAGUAACGGCGAGUGAAGCGGGAAGAGCUCAAAUUUGAAAUCUUCAAGGUUUUACCUUGACGAAUUGUAGUUUAAAGAAGUGUUUUCUGUUAGGAGUUGGUAAAAGUUCUUUGGAAUAGGACAUCAUAGAGGGUGAGAAUCCCGUAUUUGACCAUUCUUUCUAACUUUGUGAUACACUUUCAAAGAGUCGGAUUGUUUGGGAAUGCAGUCCAAAAUGGGUGGUAAAUUUCAUCUAAAGCUAAAUAUUGGCGAGAGACCGAUAGCGAACAAGUACCGUGAGGGAAAGAUGAAAAGAACUUUGAAAAGAGAGUUAAACAGUACGUGAAAUUGUCAAAAGGGAAGCGUUUGACACCAGUGUUGUUUUCUCGAAAAUCAAUUAAAAAUGACCGGAUUUUGUGUUGUAUUGACUUUAUCAGCUUUCUGCACUUUUUUCCUUGUCUUUUUUAAUGCACUUUUCGUUUAACAAGUCAACAUCAAUUUCUUUUGUUGUAAAAGAGUCAUUGGAAGGUGGCUUUCAUUUCGGUAGAAAGUGUUUAUAGCCUUGUGACUUCUGCAAUCGGAGAGAUUGAGGUCUGCAGCGUAGAUCCUUCGGGGUUAGAUACAGUUUGUGCUAUGUUAUAGUUUUUCAUAGACAACAUGUUGACUAUGAUUAGUCAUGUAGCUUACUCGCUUAUGCUAUUUUACCUACGCUUAGGAUGUUGACGCGCGUGUGUGCGUG
rnacentral:rRNA from 1 species